CCCUUCCUCUCUUGGUCAUACUCAAGCCUUUUCCCACCCCGACUCUGCCUCGGCGAUGAGUCCGCUGUCUGGAUCCCUUUUCCCAGGCGUGGGCUGAGGACCCAGCGGUUCGGCAGCGGGGAUCAUCGCACCACGCUCCCGGACCCCUACAACCUCCUGUUCUCCAGCGGCCUCCAGCAUGACCACCGGGCUGGGAGCAGGCAUCCGGGCUGCCGGAGCGCUCGCUGCUCAGUGGCUCAGCCCUGCGCCGCCUUUGCCGGGAGCGGGGAUCCGAGGUGGGAGAAGGCCUCUUCGCCCGGCUCCUGGGCACAGCUACCUGCCUGAACAGCUGCCUGGCACCGAGCCUGCGCUCCCCGAGCACCCGGCCGCGGGUCCGCGACGCCUUCCGGGGCUGAGUAGCCGAAAACUAUCUCCUACUGCAAGAAUCUACCCCGGAAGAGAGAGCCCAGAGAAUUGCCCAAGCUGUCUGCAAACAGUCAAUUGACGUGAAGGAAAAUUGGGACCAAUUGAAAACCCAUGCGAGCAACUGGCAGAAACAGGUGGAAAAGGCGUUAGAGAAACUUCAAGAACUGCAGAAAGCUCUGGAUGAUCUUGAGUCUCAUGUGAUAACAGUUGAGGGGGUCCACACUGAUUGGCAACCUGUGAAUGACCUGUUUAUUGAUGCAUUGCAGGAUCACAUUGAUAAAACCACAGGUAAGGACUGCCUGCAAAAUCUGAGAUUGGGUUUUGAAAGACAUCAACCUUUGCUUGCGAGAGAUAAUGGUAACUGCAGAUGCUAGAGAAUGCGAGAUAACAAUGUGUGGAGCUGGAUGAACACAGCAGGCCAAGCAGCAUCUCAGGAGCACAAAAUCUGACAUUUCGGGCCUCGACCCUUCAUGCGAGAGAACGUAACGUUUUUAAAGAAGAAAUUGCCCCAGUCAAACAAGAAGUCAAAAUAUUAAAUGAUCUGGCCAGUCAGUUAUCUCCGCUUGAUGUCUCUUUCUCUCCAAAGAUUUCUCACCAGCUUGAUGACCUAAAUAUGAGGUUGAAAUUUAUACAGCAGCAGGAGGUGAGGAGGCAGAGACUGCAACCCUGAGGUCACGGAGGGAAGGAAAAGAGGCUCUUACUUGGAGAUUGAGAAGCAGGAGAGGGCACAACCCAGAGGUUUGGGAGUGGAGAGAGGCUGCAAGUUGGAGGUCAAGCCACCAGACUCAGAGUACCUGUUGGGACCAUCCAAAAAUGACUGAACAUUUUCACUCAUUAGGUAAGUAGAUUGAUAAUAGGACUCUGGUUCUGUGCCACUGUCAGAUCAUUGCGACUCCAAAAGGUACCAAAGUAAAUUCUGGAUUCUAGGCAAAUAUACCUAUGUGUUUAGAUCUAUUUAGAUGCAUUCAUGUAGGCUAAAAAUACUUGAAAUAAUGUAUAAUUAGGAGUGACAGACAACAUCUGUGACAUUAAAUGAAAAACAAGAACAAAGAACUUUGGUUCAUAUUUCAGCUUCGACAGGCACUAAACAACUAAAAGCACUGUAUAACCAAUGAAGUAAGUUUUUGAAGUAUGUUUGUAAUGUCGGAAACACAGCAACAAAUAUAUGCGCAGAAGGCUUUCACAAACAGAACUGUAAAAAUGACCACUUACUUUGUGAUAUUGAUUGAAUGCUAAGUGUUGGCCAGAAUGUA